ACGCUCGACACCUACAGGAGGCAGCAGUGGGGAAUAUUGCACAAUGGGGGAAACCCUGAUGCAGCGACGCCGCGUGGAGGAAGAAGGUCUUCGGAUUGUAAACUCCUGUUGUUGGGGAAAAAGAGGAUGGUACCCAACAAGGAAGUGACGGCUAACUACGUGCCACAGCCGCGGUAAUCUGAGCGGGCUGGCAAGGC
rnacentral:rRNA from 1 species